AUACACACUUGCACAUGUGAUGUUUGUGGCACGUCGGCACUCGGCAUUGGCAGUUACGACUUGGCAUUUGCUGACCCGACGUGUAAAAGUGGUACCAUUGCCUGGCUGUCUAUUUCUACACAUCAUCAAUUAGGCAUUUUAUUGCAAAAAGAUGAUCACUGAUGUGCAACUUGUUUUUUUCUCCAACAUUUUGGGCAUCACCUUAUUUUUUUUGGUUUUCCUCUUUCACUACAUUAAUGCAAAUUAUUCCAAGUAAAAUGGCCCAUUAUAUUAUUAUAUCACAACAUUCCUCUGUUAAUAAAUAAAAUUAUGUAAAUUA